rnacentral:lncRNA from 1 species
UUGUCACGCCCCUCCAUUUUCUAAGAGGUUAUGCCAUGCGGACGAUGACUGGGCGACAUGCAGGCAACGAUUUGGCGCACGUAUGGCAGCAUUUCUCUAUCGCAGGGGCGGAUAGUGACUAAGGCCGCACGGAAGAUAGCUAGGGAGUUAUCCGGUCCAUAACAGUUGGUAUCAGAGCAACGCUACGAAAGGGAUUCGUGGGUUAGCUGGCCACAUUCACGACAUGGCUAGCGGCAGUGAGGAGCAAGUUCGCAAGGGUCGCGAGGAGGAGCGCACCGUACCACCACCACAUAAGGGAGGUAAAUCUCGUGACUAUCUUGCUAGUUUUGAAGCUCGGUUAGCUAAACUUGAGAUAACAAUGGCGGAUACAAAAGAAAGGUUGGAUCGCACGGAGCAAACCGUAGAAGAAUACAUCGAGAAGGUCGAUACCUCGUUGGACACUUUCCAAGAGAGGAUUUAUGCUGCAGGGGCAGAG